UGGGGAAUAUUGCACAAUGGGCGCAAGCCUGAUGCAGCGACGCCGCGUGCGGGAUGACGGCCUUCGGGUUGUAAACCUCUUUUGUCAGGGAGCAACGACCGCCACGCGUGGCGGGGAGGAGAGUACCUGAAGAAAAAGCAUCGGCUAACUCCGUGCCAGCAGCCGCGGUAAUACGGAGGAUGCGAGCGUUAUCCGGAUUUAUUGGGUUUAAAGGGUGCGUAGGCGGAGUGCCAAGUCAGCGGUAAAAUUUCGGGGCUCAACCCCGUCGUGCCGUUGAAACUGGCGCCCUUGAGUGGGCGAGAAGUAUGCGGAAUGCGUGGUGUAGCGGUGAAAUGCAUAGAUAUCACGCAGAACUCCGAUUGCGAAGGCAGCAUACCGGCGCCCAACUGACGCUGAAGCACGAAAGCGUGGGUAUCGAACAGGAUUAGAUACCCUGGUAGUCCACGCAGUAAACGAUGGAUACUAGCUGUCCGGGUCGAUUGGGACCUGGGUGGCACAGCGAAAGCGUUAAGUAUCCCACCUGGGGAGUACGCCGGCAACGGUGAAACUCAAAGGAAUUGACGGGGGCCCGCACAAGCGGAGGAACAUGUGGUUUAAUUCGAUGAUACGCGAGGAACCUUACCCGGGCUCAAACGCUGGAGGAAUACUUUUGAAAGGAGGUAGCUCUACGGAGCCUCCAGCGAGGUGCUGCAUGGUUGUCGUCAGCUCGUGCCGUGAGGUGUCGGCUUAAGUGCCAUAACGAGCGCAACCCCCAUCGACAGUUGCUAACGAGUAGAGUCGAGGACUCUGUCGAGACUGCCGGCGCAAGCUGCGAGGAAGGCGGGGAUGACGUCAAAUCAGCACGGCCCUUACGUCCGGGGCGACACACGUGUUACAAUGGCAGGUACAGCGGGAAGCCACCUGGCGACAGGGAGCGGAACCCGAAAGCCUGUCUCAGUUCGGAUUGGAGUCUGCAACCCGACUCCAUGAAGCUGGAUUCGCUAGUAAUCGCGCAUCAGCCACGGCGCGGUGAAUACGUUCCC
rnacentral:rRNA from 1 species